rnacentral:rRNA from 1 species
UUCGAUUAAGCCAUGCGAGUCGAGAGUCUUAGGGACUCGGCGUACCGCUCAGUAACACGUGGGUAACCUGCCCUAUGCUGGGGAAUAACCUCGGGAAACUGAGAAUAAUGCCCCAUAGUCCACCAUGCCUGGAACGGUUGGUGGAUCAAAGCUCCGGCGGCAUAGGAUGGGCCUGCGGCGUAUCAGGUUGUAGGGGGUGUAAUGUACCCUCUAGCCAUCAACGCGUACGGGUGUUGGGAGACAUAGCCCGGAGAUGGAUUCUGAGACACGAAUCCAGACCCUACGGGGUGCAGCAGGCGCGAAAACUCGGCAAUGCGAGCAAUCGUGACCAGGGAACUCCAAGUGGCUGGGGUAAGACCCAGUCUUUUCUUGACUCUUCAAAGGUCUUGGAAUAAGGGGUGGGUAAGGACGGUGCCAGCCGCCGCGGUAAUACCGGCGCCUCAAGUGGUAGUCGAUUUUAUUGGGCCUAAAACGUCCGUAGCCUGUUUGGUACAUUCGUGGGUAAAUCAACCAGCUCAACUGAUUGAAUUCUGCGAGCACGGCCAGACUUGGGACCGGGAGGGGUGUGGGGUACGCUCAGGGUAGGGGUAAAAUCCUGUCAUCCUGAGCGGACCACCUGUUGCGAAGGCGCCACACUAGAACGGAUCCGACGGUCAGGGACGAAGCCUAGGGGCACGAACCGGAUUAGAUACCCGGGUAGUCCUAGGUGUAAACGCUGUGGACUUGGUGUUGGGGAUUCUCCGAGGAUUCUCAGUGCCGAAGCGAAGGUGAUAAGUCCACUGCCUGGGGAGUACGGUCGCAAGGCUGAAACUUAAAGGAAUUGGCGGGGGAGCACCGCAACCUGAGGAUUGUGCG